AGAUCACCCCGCUGCUUUGUAGAAGGCGGUGGUGGGGCAAGCUCCGGAUUCCGAUCGCCGGGGUGGGGGGUGGGGGGAAGAGGGUGCCCAUGUACUGAGCUCUGAGGCCGUGUAAGGAGAGAGAUCUGCUGAGCGGCAUCGCGGGCAAUUACAUAAGCUGCCUCGGUGAUUACCCGGAACUGUGAUGCGAGCUCCCGGUUCUCGAAAGACAAGCCUGAAAGUUUGCCUGCUUGGGGAAUAUGGAAAAACUGAGAAUCAGAGAGGGCUAGUGAUCUCUCAGACACUUGGUCAGUAGAAAAGAUCCCGCACCAUCCUCCAGGAUCCAAUGGCCUUGGAGAGAGGGCUGCAGGGCCCACGGACAUUGCUGACUCUUCAGAACGUGCUGACAUGGAGCCAGGUAGACUGAAAUUACCAUGUGUCCAAAUUAAAAUUGCAUACUUCAAGGAUUAUUUGAAGGACUAUUCUUAGACCCUU
rnacentral:sRNA from 1 species